CCAAGAACCUAAGAUUUCACUUCAUCCAGUUGUGGGAUCUCGUAUGCCUCAGACUAUGAUGUUGGCUCGCCAUGUGAAGAAACAACUAAUUAGUGUUCUAAUUCGUAAGGCCUGUGGUCCCAACUUCUUAGAUUCAGCUGCAAUGUCUUCAAUCAGGAUUGCAUUUCAUGCGAGAUUUGUCUUUCAAAUUGCUACUGCUUUAAUAACAUGGAAAUAGUUUAUAAAGCAAACGAAAAUAAUUUUAAUAUAGCCAUAUAUGGACUUGCUUGUAUAGGGUCUUAGUUCCUAAGAUUAUCGCCAUUUAUUGCAGUUGCUAUUACUCUUGUUUAUUUGCAUUAUCUGAUUUCUUUUGAUGAAUUAUUUUUGAUCUGCCAUACUUCUAUCCGGCUUGUCAAAAAAUAAUAAAAAAUAAAAAUAAAAAAGUGCAGAACAGAAAAGUAUAAGCAUAAAACAUAAUUUUCAAGGGUAGGAGUCCAUAUUCUUUUACUCAGCAAUAAUGAUGAUGAUUUUCAUAAUAUGGACAUGAGCCCCAAGUCUUAGAACAAUGACAAUAACAGUAGAAGAGCACUCAAAAUAUAGAGGUAUAUAUUAUAUAGCUCUCCGUUGUAAGUUGAACAAGCCCAGAUCUGACAUCUGCGUUGGGCUGCUUAUUUAGUGCAUGCAUGGAUUGAUACAAAGUGAACAUAAUAUACGUUCGACCCGGGAUUGGUCAAUGGCCCCGGAUACUAGUAUAGAUAUAAUUUUAGUGGCAGUUAUGGGGUGGGAGGAUUAGCACGGCAUCCGUAGAUCUUUCUGCAGCCAGGUUGGUAAGGCCUACCGCUGGGCACUCCAUAAACUGGCCUACGCGGAUUUAACGCACCAGGAGUAAUAGGCUUAGCAUCUACCGGCUUCUGGCCACCUACUUCUGCGCAACCAAUUGUAAAUUAUUAUUUGUAUUAUCUUAGAGGGAAAGAUGUAUUUAAUUUUCUUUUUAAGAUAAAAGCUCAAAAUUUAUAACAUUCCAACGGCAUUCACCAAGACCUACCUUUGCCAUUCAUUUUUUAAAAAGAAAAAUAUUUGAAGGAAGUUUCUUACCUCCAUUCUAAACUAGUUGUAGUAGAUUAUACUAGGUUAUGAAGGACAAGAGGAAGUUAAAUUCACAUUCAACUAUUUUAACCUAGCAGUAUGAUGUGUUGCAGAUAGGGAUGUCAAACCAAUUGUGUCAAACUCAGAUCAAGCUUUAGAUUGAGGAAAGCGCAAAUUGCAGAUAAAUAAAUUAAAUCUAAAUCAAUAAAACAAGCUUUUACUGUGUACGUGAGUACGUUUGUAUAGAGAGGUACACAGGUAGAUAGAUAAUGGAUUUUUGAAUUAGGACUUUGAUUAAUAUAAUUCUUUUAAUCAAUUAAAUAUUAAUUCACACUUGAGUCAAGCUUAAAAUCAAGCUAUAAAAUUCAAACUUGAACCAGGCUUGAUCAAGCUUGAAUUGAUUUCAACUCAAUUUAAGAUUAUUGAGCUGAUCAAGUGCACUCGUCUUCGAGUUGGUUCGAAAUUAAGCUUGAAGUAUUGAUAAGAAAAAUCGAACUUGAUCUUUGAGUUUCCAGCUUAAAAUUAGUUUCAAAUUAAGCUUAAUCAGGUCCAAGCUUGAUCAAGCUUAGCUCUCUUAGACCCCUAGGCCUUGAUGGCAGCACGUGGGCAACCAGUCUAAUUCAUGUCAGGCCUCUUCCACUUUCAGAUAGAAGACAUCUAUUUUGUGCGUAAGAAGUUCUAAUACGUGCAUGAUAAUACCACUUGUGGUAACUCAAUAUUAAACCACCCCUACCUAUCACAUUAAUUUUCAAAGAGCAAACUUGUCCCUUCAUAUCAUGUAGCCAGAGAACAUUAUGUGCCUACAGAUGUCCCUAUCUUUUUUGCUUCAAAUAUGAGAUAAAUUUCUUGUAAUAAAGUGGGAAAUCUGGAAAAAAAAAGAGAACAAAAAAGAAUGGCUUGGCUGUAACUUAUGUUUUACUCCAUAUUCUAGCUACAACUUAUGCGAUAUUAAUUAAAAGAAAGCAAUAUAUUUUUAAUAAAAGAAGUAAAUUGGGAGAUAUUAAA
rnacentral:lncRNA from 1 species